AAAUUGAAGAGUUUGAUCAUGGCUCAGAUUGAACGCUGGCGGCAGGCCUAACACAUGCAAGUCGAGCGGAAACGAGUUAUCUGAGCCUUCGGGGGACGAUAACGGCGUCGAGCGGCGGACGGGUGAGUAAUGCCUAGGAAAUUGCCCUGAUGUGGGGGAUAACCAUUGGAAACGAUGGCUAAUACCGCAUGAUGCCUAUGGGCCAAAGAGGGGGACUUU
rnacentral:rRNA from 1 species